GUCCACGCCCUAAACGAUGUCUACUAGUUGUUGGGGCUUUCGAGCCUUAGUAACGCAGCUAACGCGUGAAGUAGACCGCCUGGGGAGUACGGUCGCAAGAUUAAAACUCAAAGGAAUUGACGGGGACCCGCACAAGCGGUGGAUGAUGUGGAUUAAUUCGAUGCAACGCGAAAAACCUUACCUACACUUGACAUGCUAAGAAGUUCCUAGAGAUGGGAAUGUGCUUGAAAGAGAACUUAGACACAGGUGCUGCAUGGCU
rnacentral:rRNA from 1 species